rnacentral:snoRNA from 1 species
UUUACUAUGAUGUUAAGUUACUGCCCCAGUCUGAGUAUUAUGUGAAUGAUUCAGUUUUUCCUGAGAUAGA